rnacentral:misc_RNA from 1 species
AAGUCGUAACAAGGUUUCCGUAGGUGAACCUGCGGAAGGAUCAUUAAUGAAUGAAAUUGAGUGGGGUUGUCGCUGGCCCUUUGCGGGGCAUGUGCACACCUCAUUCGACCACCUUCUACACCUCUGUGCACUUCUCAUGGGUUGGGCUGCGUCUGAAACACGACAACGCCCGGCCUGUGUGCUACCAUACAAACAAUUUGUCAUAGAAUGUCACUAGCAUGCUUUGAAGCAUAUAAUACAACUUUUAACAACGGAUCUCUUGGCUCUC